rnacentral:rRNA from 1 species
CCCCAAACCGACACAGGUGGUCGGGUAGAGAAUACCAAGGCGCUUGAGAGAACUCGGGUGAAGGAACUAGGCAAAAUGGUACCGUAACUUCGGGAGAAGGUACGCUCUUGAUGGUGAAGUCCCUCGCGGAUGGAGCUGACGAGAGUCGCAGAUACCAGGUGGCUGCAACUGUUUAUUAAAAACACAGCACUGUGCAAAAUCGCAAGAUGACGUAUACGGUGUGACGCCUGCCCGG